CGAAGCCAUUGCUGGGUUGGCUUGUCGCAUGCAAUUUUCUUAUUAUGAACCGAACCUUUAAAAUGUUUUGAUAUUUAUCAUUGUGGUUAGUCUACCUAUUGGUUUACCAUUAUUGUAGCAGGGUGAAGAUGCCGGGCUUCAGUAGUGUUGGCACAUUCAAGAUAUUUGUUGGUAAUUUAUCUGACAAAACAGUUGCAGCUGACAUAAAACCCUUGUUUGAGAAAUAUGGGAAAGUUGUAGAAUGUGAUGUUGUAAAAAACUAUGGAUUUGUGCACAUGGAAAAUGAAGAAAAUGGACGGGAUGCUAUCCAAAACCUCAACGGCUACAUUGUACAUGGAACUGCAAUGAAAGUGGAGGCUGCUACAAGCAGGAAGGGACCUAACACUCCGACGACUAAAAUAUUUGUGGGUAAUCUGUCUGACAACACAAGAGCUCCACAGGUCCGCCUGCUUUUUGCCAAAUAUGGCACAGUUGUGGAAUGUGAUAUUGUACGCAACUACGGCUUUGUGCACAUUGAUUGCACAGACGUAAACAAACUGAUUGAGGAGUUGAAUGGAUCAAUGGUGGAUGGACAGGCGAUGAAGGUUCAGGUGUCCACAAGUAAGGUUCGUCAGAGGCCGGGUAUGGGCAACCCUGAGCAAUGUUACAGGUGUGGCCGAGGAGGACAUUGGUCAAAGGAGUGCCCCAAAACUGGGAUGGGACCAGAUAGGUUCAGGGACAGAAUGUACGGACGGGACCCGUACCCACCUCCCCCACCACCACCUUUCUUGAGAGACCGAAUGCUCAGCGGAGGGUUUGGCAAGGACAGCUACUACGACAGAUACUACGACAGGGCUGGCGGUAGGUACGAUGACAGGGAGUUUGACAGACGUUUCCCCCCUCUCCCUCCACGAGACUUGGGACCAAGAAGAGACUUUCUCCCUCCUCCAUCCAUGUCUCGGCCCCUCGGCAUGCGUGGACCACCUGACUCGUACGACAGAGCCAGCGACUACAUGUUCAGUCGCAGGUCUCCACCGCCAUCUUCAUCUGACAGAUACGGCCAUCCUUAUGACGACUACACAAGAGAUUCUUAUGAUGAUCGCAGUUUCAGGUGUUUGAAACAGCUCACCAACUAGUCACCUGUUAACAUUAAAGCAAACAUAUGCACGCAGUUUUCUCACAUCAACAAUAACGAAAUUUUCCGAUUCGUCUCAGAAUCGGCCUGCGUGGAGGUUCGCCGCGCCGGUACACACCCUAUUAGCUUGCUCGGACCGAUACUGCUCGGUGAACGGUACGGAAACCCGUGACGUGCACUGAAAUCGUCAAGGACGGCCGUUCCAUAGGACUUAGACAUUAAUUUCCAGACAUCUUCACUUUCGUGUUGAUAUUAGAAAUAAGUCAUUGCAUGUUUGUUAUUGAGUUUUAUUGUAUCGAUGUGAGGUAACUGUAUGUUCCCAUCACGAUAUUUUCACUGGAAACACUAUUUUUAGCUAUCGGAUACACGAAAAGCUUUGAUAAAUCCAUGAAAGAAUGUUACAUUUUAUUGGUUUUGAUAUUUUCUCGUAGGUUUAUUGUAAUAAAUGUAGUUUCGUACAAUAGCGAUCCGUGCGGCUUCUUGACUCAGAGUCGUUUUCGGACAUAUUGUAUGUGUUGUUUUAAAAUAAGCUUUUAUGUGUAACCGAGCAAAUGUUUGCUUUUAUUGUCUUAAUUAAAUAAAUAAACAGACAACAGUUGUCGCGUUGUGAUUUUUCCUUUCCGCCGUUCCGAUGUCGGAUUUUCCGAUAUUUACAACAUCCGGCCGCAGAUGUUCUCCUCUGACCGAAGACUUUCCGGACGGAUAUCAUCGGCUGAGGUAGGCUAUGCAAUACCAAACUUGAAAUGACCUUACCCAUUUAUUGAACAUUUCAUCAUUCUGGUACACAAUAGAAAAUAUAAACAAGAUUUAAGAUUUACACAUUUAUAUAAUGUGUAACGUAUUGGUUGGUAAUACAGAUUAUUAGUCUAAAUUGAAAAGAUCUAGCAACAUUUAUUUCAGGUUCAAGUCGUAAUUUUACUUCACCCUCUAUUUGAGAAAAUGUCAUUGUAUGUAUUACAUGUAAUGUGUUUUUAAUGUUAAGGAUCUUUUUACUUUUUUAGUUGGACCAGAGAUGUAAAAUUAAAAAGUUAUAUUUUUUU